GGUUUUGUGGUCGAGUGGUGAGAACACUUGUCUUUCACUCUGGAGUUCCGGGUUCAAUCCCCGGUCGAGGAGCU